rnacentral:rRNA from 1 species
UACGUAGGGACCAAGCGUUGUUCGGAUUUACUGGGCGUAAAGGGCUCGUAGGCGGCCAACUAAGUCCGACGUGAAAUCCCAAGGCUUAACCUUGGAACUGCGUCGGAUACUGGAUGGCUUGAAUUCGGGAGAGGGAUGCAGAAUUCCAGGUGUAGCGGUGAAAUGCGUAGAUAUCUGGAGGAAUACCGGUGGCGAAGGCGGCAUCCUGGACCGACAUUGACGCUGAUGAGCGAAAGCUAGGGGAGCAAACGGG